rnacentral:rRNA from 1 species
UACGAAGGGGGCUAGCGUUGUUCGGAUUUACUGGGCGUAAAGCGCACGUAGGCGGGUCGUUAAGUCAGGGGUGAAAUCCCGGAGCUCAACUCCGGAACUGCCCUUUGAUACUGGCGACCUUGAGGCUGGAAGAGGUUAGUGGAAUUCCCAGUGUAGAGGUGAAAUUCGUAGAUAUUGGGAAGAACACCAGUGGCGAAGGCGGCUAACUGGUCCAGAUCUGACGCUGAGGUGCGAAAGCGUGGGGAGCAACAGG